rnacentral:rRNA from 1 species
GACGAACGCUGGCGGCGUGCUUAACACAUGCAAGUCGAACGGUGAAGCGCCUUCCUUUUUGGUGGGUGUGGAUGAGUGGCGAACGGGUGAGUAACACGUGAGUAACCUGCCCCCUUCUUCUGGAUAACCGCAUGAAAGUGUGGCUAAUACGGGAUAUUCUGGGUCUGUCGCAUGAUGGGUCUGGGAAAGAUAUUGUUUCGGUGGGGGAUGGGCUCGCGGCCUAUCAGCUUGUUGGUGGGGUGAUGGCCUACCAAGGCGGUGACGGGUAGCCGGCCUGAGAGGGUGGACGGUCACACUGGGACUGAGACACGGCCCAGACUCCUACGGGAGGCAGCAGUGGGGAAUAUUGCACAAUGGGCGCAAGCCUGAUGCAGCGACGCCGCGUGAGGGAUGGAGGCCUUCGGGUUGUGAACCUCUUUCGCCAGUGAAGCAGGCCUGCCUCGUUUGUGGGUGGGUUGACGGUAGCUGGAUAAGAAGCGCCGGCUAACUGCGUG